rnacentral:rRNA from 1 species
UUCCGGUUGAUCCCGCCGGACCCGACUGCUAUCAUAGUGGGACUAAGCCAUGCGAGUCGACGUAGCAAUGCGUGGCGAACGGCUCAGUAACACGUAGUCUACAUGCCCAGGGGACGUGGAUAACCUCGGGAAACUGAGAAUAAACCACGAUAGGUCACGAUUUCUGGAAUGGAUCAUGGCAUAAAUCUACAUGGCCCCUGGAUUGGACUGCGGCCGAUCAGGCAGUUGGUGAGGUAAUGGCCCACCAAACCUAUAACCGGUACGGGCUCUGAGAGGAGAAGCCCGGAGAUGGGCACUGAGACAAGGGCCCAGGCCCUAUGGGGCGCAGCAGGCGCGAAACCUCUGCAAUAGGCGAAAGCCUGACAGGGUUACUCUGAGUGAUUUCCGCUAAGGGGAUCUUUUGGCACCUCUAAAAAUGGUGCAGAAUAAGGGGUGGGCAAGUCUGGUGUCAGCCGCCGCGGUAAUACCAGCACCCCGAGUGGUCGGGACGAUUAUUGGGCCUAAAGCAUCCGUAGCCGGUUCUGCAAGUCUUCCGUUAAAUCCAGCCGCUCAACGGAUGGGCCGCGGAGGAUACUAUAGGACUAGGAGGCGGGAGAGGCAAGCGGUACUCAGUGGGUAGGGGUAAAAUCCUUUGAUCCAUUGAAGACCACCAGUGGCGAAGGCGGCUUGCCAGAACGCGCUCGACGGUGAGGGAUGAAAGCUGGGGGAGCAAACCGGAUUAGAUACCCGGGUAGUCCCAG